ensembl:lncRNA
AUGACUGAAACGCUUUUCAUGCUUUCCAGUAUUCCUAGUGCUGUUUCAUUCUUGAAAAUAAUCACACAACAGAUCGUUAUGACCUACUGCAGGGAACCUGCCAUGGCAGGGGUUGGAUUGGGUGAUCUUCAAAAGUCCUUUCCAACCCCUACAAUUCUGUGAUUACCCUUUUAAUUGGGUGAUGACCGAUCGAAAGCCUUUGGAAUCCUCCAGCUUCAAGACUUCAGCAACCACCAAGAAAAGUAUAAACAUUUUAGCCAGGUCUUGAAUUAUUUUCUCCGAAGAGUGGCUGAUGUGUUAUUGGCAACAGAAGGAAGCCUGAAGAGCUUUUCUUCCUAGCAAUUACACCAGCAUGGCUGCAAGAAGAGAUUUGGUCUUUCCUCUGCUGGGUUUGCAUCCAGUAGAUGAAGAAUGGCAAAGGACCGUCCCUUGCGAGAGCCUCUCCCCUGCAGGAGCCAGCGAUGCACAAAGAGCUGCUGUAAAUCAACCUGGCAGCAGCAAUAACAUCUGACAGUGCCAAAAGAGCCCCUCGUUGGCUCUGCUGUCUGGAAAUGCCU